ACCGUCCACCUAACAUUGGAUGGGCCGUGAGUUUGUUUACCCGUCUAUGUAAUAAAAAUAUAUUAAUAAACAAGAAUUAGAUUAUGAAAUGUGGAACAGCGAGAGAAAAAAUACAAAUUUGCUUCGGAAACAAGACUAAUCCUGUAUAAUGAAAACGAAAUGGAAAUACAAUAACUUAGAAGCGUCCGUAACUUAUAGGGUAUAGGAGGAAGAGAGGAAUAUAUUCGCGCGCACUACCACGAUUAAUACAGUUUUAGAAAACGCAAUGUAGAUGAUGAACUCGGCGGCUCUAAGAAACAAAGAUAAACUCUGCACCGGUAGGGUGGUUGUAAAAUGGAGAUGACAAGAACAUUUUACGUCAGAAGCAUUUUCCCAGAGAAUUUCCCGUGGAACAAGCGACAUAAAAUACAGAGAGAACCAAAGAUCCUUCUUGGAACAAAUGUUCAAAAAGAUCGCAUGCGAAGAGAUCGUACGUGUACAUGAAGAGUGAUAUCGCCUUUAUUCUAAUAUAGCUGAAAAUUUGUCCUAGUCGUGGGCCGUCCCUGGGCCGCCCCAGUGUCCUAGUGCUGGGCCGUGAAUUCAUUAUCACAUUAAACAGUAAAAUAAAAACAUA